AGCCUGGUGGUUGCCAUGGGGCGUGUUCGACACGUCGGAUGGGCUGCAUCAUCCCGCCUGUACCAACCGCCUGUGCCAGGGUGCUUGUCUGCUUGGUUGUCAAGGAAGACUCAAGUCAACAGAAGGGAAAGAUCCAUAAGGUGGGAAGAAAUGUUCUCCUUGAGCUGUGAUUCUGGAGACUAUGACUAAGGUUAUGAAACAGCCUAUUUCCUUUGCAGUUUUCCUGCCUUAUGACACAUCUCUUCUCAUUUUUCUCACAUUCUAGAGACCCAAUCUGAGAGGGAACGUGUAGUUUCCAUCUUUCUUGGCUUAUUAUCUUUUUAUUACUUCCCUCCUUAAAUGUUCUGUAAGCUUCCGAGUUUGUUGUUCGUUUGUUUGUUUAAGGGCCAGUUAUUUAAAAUGUUUGAUGGUGUCCUCUUAUAUCCGCUACUUGACUCAUUAAUAUGUUCUCUUAAUAUUCCUACAGUCGGCAAUAGCUAACAGCUUGCUGAAGUUGCUAUGCUAUGGUUUCUUCUAAACUCGUCUGCUAAUGAGGGAGCUGGGGAGAUUCCCAUGCACAGAUAGAGGCAGAACUUCUCACCGGAAGGUUACACAAAGCAGACAGGAAUAAACUCCCUGGCUAAAGUGUUGCUCAGACCAAAAUAGAUCCACAUCUAUUGAAAUCAACACUGAAGGCCAGUGGGGUUGGCACAUGGGACAGGAGAAACACAAGAGUUCAAACUGAGAUGGGCUGGAGGUAGAGAGGGCUGUCUGGAAAUUAGUAAGAUUCUGCACUAAGAGGAUGAAGUGGGUUCCUGAUGGGAACUUUGCUCAAGUGCCAGGUGUCCAUCGGAGACAGAAAAAGACGUCUGAGUAUCUAACAGGGGUCUCAGAUCUGUGCUGUUAGUAUUCAUGGACUUCUCUCUGGAAAAUUCCACUGGGAUUGUUCUCUCUGGUGUCGCUACCCUCCACUGCACAUAGGACUGGGCCAUCAGGAUACACGUCUGCAUAAACGUUAGACUGACAAGUGACUAGGGAUAAAGAAACACGAAUCCUGGUUUGGAGAGGCGGUUCAAUGGAUGUGAAUGCUUGCUUCAAAGUAUGACAACUUGAAUUCAGAUCCCCUGCACACACGAACCAAAAACUAGGCAACUGUGAUCUUAACAGCUUCAGUGGUGAAGACAGGAGGAUAUCAGAGCUUUGCUGGCUGCCAGCCGAGCUACAGGUUCACUGUGAGACCUGAGGGAAGAGAGAAGAAAGUGAUAGAACCAUCCAUGUCCUCAUGAGACCUUAACAUGUGUGCACCUGCACAUAUACCAUAAACACACAUGCAUACACACAUACACAAGCGUACACAUACAUGCGAAUACACAUGUACAAAUACACACAAACACAUAACUCACACAACACAACUGAACUUUGCAUCAAGAUUUUAAGACCUUGAUCACCACCCCCAGAAAGCUUAGGCAGAGCUUCAAGGGAAAUUUUGUUUUAUGCCAGCAACCACCAGCUUGCUUUCCUUAAAACAGACAUUAUUUUUGUACUAUGAAAAUAGUUUCAGGUUUGAGAAUUGCUGCUUGCUUUGUAUUUCUCUCUUUGAGUAUCCGUUCUAUUUGUUAAUGUAUCAAAUCCUUCAAAGUUCUUCAGAAGGUAGCAAAUUUCUUUCAUGCUUUUCUCCACACAAUAGCCAGAAUAAGAGUUUAUCUGUUUACGUUCCUAGUACUAUAACAGAAAUAGUCAAGCACCCCAUUGAGGUAUUGAAAAUACUAUUCCUACUUGAUCCUUUUAAAGGUUUAUUUAGUUUUUAAGUUUUAUUUAUUAAAAUUGUUUAUUUUUUUAUUUUUAGGCACAUUGGUGUUUUGCUUGUAUACAUGUCUGUGUGAGCUUGUCAGAUCCUCUGGAACUGAAGUUUCAGACAGUAGUGAGUUGCCUUGUGGGUGCUGCGAAUUGAACCUGGGUCCUCCAGAAGAGCAGCCAGAGUGCUCUUAUCCGCUGAGCCAUCUCUCCAGCUCCAGCUUUAUUUAAUUUUAUUUAAUGUGUGUUGGGGUUUUGCCUGCAUGUAUGGCUGUGUAGCACAUACAUGCAGUACGUAUGGAGACCAGGAGGAGGUCACAGAUUCGCUGUUGUACUUGUACGCUGCCAUAUGGGUGCUGGGAACUGAACUUGGGUCCUCCAGGACAGCAGCAAGGGCUUUUAACCAUUGAGUCACCGCUCUAGCCCCCUACUUGAUCUUCUAAAAUAAGUUCUUAUUUGUUUGUUUAACCUAAUGGGAGUGGAGUACAUACAGGCAUGCAGGUCAGAAGGCAACUUGUGAGAGUUGCUUCUCUGCUUCCAUCGUGUGGGCUCUGAGGAAGGCAUGGCAGCAGGAGCCCUGCUUUAGCCAACAAGGUAUCUUGCAGGCUAUUGAUCUUUUUACGUGGAAGUGGACUUCUGUCUUUUCUGGGCUGAUCCCUUAAACAUGUUGUAAAAUGCAUGUUUGUGUUUGAAAUAAAACCAACUUCCCUAUUAGCUGAGACCUGUUCUAGGUGUGACCUGGGAAAGGAUUAGCUGCAAUUCCUUUUUCUUCUGAAUCUUCCUUUAGAGAAUUUGUGGCUAAGCAGCUUCCUCGUUUUGACAGUGAGCAAGCAAAAGUGUUUAAUUGGAUCAGAGCACAAGGACACCAGGAACUUCUAAUAUA
rnacentral:lncRNA from 1 species